rnacentral:rRNA from 1 species
UACGUAGGGGGCUAGCGUUGUCCGGAAUCAUUGGGCGUAAAGAGCGCGUAGGCGGCUAGAUAAGUCCGGUGUGAAAGUCACAGGCUCAACCUGUGAAUGCCGCUGGAAACUGUCUGGCUAGAGUCCGGAAGGGGCGAGUGGAAUUCCUGGUGUAGCGGUGGAAUGCGCAGAUAUCAGGAGGAACACCGGUGGCGAAGGCGACUUCCUGGCCCAAUACUGACACUCAGGUGCGACAGCGUGGGGAGCAAACAGG